rnacentral:tRNA from 1 species
GCCUCCAUACGUCAACUGGAUAGACGACCGGCCUUCGAAGUCGGUGGUUGAUGGGUUCGAAUCCCUCUGGGGGCUCCA